UUACACCUGUGUGGUAGAAUUAUUCUCAUCUAAAUGUCCACAACCAUUCUACCUAUGGGGAACAGCUCACUCAAUUCUCUGGGGUACACCUGGGAAACAAGGCAUAGCAGAGCACCAAUUGUCACAGGCUAGCAAAAUGCCAAGGAGAGAGUUUAUGGAAUCGCUAUGAUCAGCUUAAAUUGAUCAUAGCAGUUAGAAUAUGAAUAAAGUAUCGAUUCCCAAUAUGCAUAGUAUAUCAAUUUAUCAAGAUUAAGAUGGACUCUCUUAUGUCAGGCACUAUCUUAGAAUUUGAAUCAACUUCCUUCUUGGUUCUCCUUCACCCUAGAAGGCACAAGAGGCAAGUACGUUCAAUUAAUUGAACUCUUCAAAUAGAUUGGAUUCAAAUGUCCAUAUUGCAUUUUGUGUAUUUUGCAACUGCACUUCUCUGCUGGUGUUACAGCAAGGUAGAAACAAAUAAAGCUAGGUGAUGCCAGUACAAGAAGGACAAGAUAUUCAGGAGAUGAACCUUCUUCAUGUUGUUGUGGUUGUGGUUCUGAGAUCCAGUCUCAAAAAUGAUGGGCUGUUUGGAUGAAGGACUACCAUGGUCUUCCAGCAGAUAAAGGAAAUCAUGAGCUGGUAAUCUUAUUAUUUAUCAUUUAUAAUGGCAAUGAUACAUGUAAGGCAAACAAGGAUGCAAAAUCUAGUAGAAAAAGGGGUUCAUCUUGCAGGUGACUGACCACACAGACUACUUGCUGAACAUUUCAUACGCAGACAAUGAAACAUACUUAUUCAGAAUAAACAGAGAUGAUUUGGAGAAAAGAAAAAAAAAGAAGAAGAAAAAAAGAGAAAAAAAAAACAUGAUCAAAGGAAUAAGUUUGGCAAAUAUGUGGAUUGCCUUUCAGUUUAUUUAUAGACCUUGGGUUACUGAGGAACUUAAUUAAUAAUGUAUAAAGACAGUUCUGUCAUGAUAGUCUAAAGAACCUAUCACUCAGUUCCAUUAGAUUUUAAAAAUAUGUUUAUGUCUGUCUUCUUUUAGUGCUUUAAGGAUUAAGGAUUGAUUCUACUUUUUUAAUGCAAAUGGUUCUUUUGCAAUUAUUGUAUUUUAGCCUGUAUGACCUUCAUAAUAUUUUAAAUUAUAUGACUCCUUUUCUUUUGAAAACAACUCAAUUUUACAUGUGGGAGUUGAACAAAAGGGAAAUUAUCUAGCUUUUCCAUUGACAAUAUUGUAUUUUAAUUUUUCUUCAACUUUAAAGUUCAUUGGAUGCUUACACCUAUGAGCACUUAAUAUUGUCUUGACAAGUUUAUUUUUACAUUUCUCAGAGUCAAAGGAACUCUGGUAGAGAAGACCACAGUGGUAGGUCUGCCAUCAUGGGCCUUUUAAAUAGACAAAGGUACCCCAUAAAAUGGGAGAACUCACAUCUAUCUGAAAUUAGCGCAUCCUGUUACUGUCAAAUUUUUGCUUUUUGAAGAAGGAAACUCUCACAGUAUUUUUACUGCUUCAUCUUAAUGUCUGCUUAUACUCUUAAUAAAUUUUUCACAGUAUCAACGUAUCCAUUAGCUAAAUGCAUCUUCUUUAGUCAGAAAAGAAGAGUAGAGGUUUUUUGUGAUUUACAUAUUUGUGGCAGAGAUCUUUUGUGCAAGAAUCAACAGUGCAAAACAAGGAGGGGACAAGCAGAGCCUUCUGUUGAGUUGUGAACUGAAAGUACUGACUUCAGAGAAAGGCUUGCACUCCAUUGCUGUCUCCCAGCUAAAAGUGAUCAUUGCUAUCUAGUUUUUGGGAAAAGCAGAAACACUUACAUUUUCUUCUGCUAACCAUUUUGCUACAUGGGAGCAGUCACGUCUUCCUAUUUAGGGAAAGAAUUUUUUCCCCACAUGAACACUUAGAAAUAACAGAACUGCCAUGUACGUAUUUUAUCUGCAUUAAGUUCUGUGCACUAAAUUUGUUUGAAUCUGAAGACAAUUUAGGGUUAAAGUAUUUUACAAUACACAAAACAGUUGUCAUUAUGUGCUGCUCAUUACAGACUCAUUCUCCCAGCACCACUGGUAGCCUGAGGAUGGCAAUCCAUAGCUUUUCAUAAUUGUCUGUUUAUAGCUGGGCUGAAAGUCAUUUUCUCAUGGUGUAAUUUAUGGGCAGUGGCAGGCUCCCCUCUUCCCUGCUUUGAGCAACAGUGCCAACAGCAAUAUGCCAAUCCUUACGCAAAAAUCUUUCUGGCUGGAAUGUGCUUGUGUUGAAACCAUCACAGGAACAAAGCUUCACUGCCAAAUCUUUAUCGUGUAGCUUCAGCAGAUUCUCUCCUGUGAAGAAAUCAAUCCCCGGGGUGUAUUUGUCAGUGGGGAAGAGGAAACAAAUAAAUAAAUAAGAUCUGUGUGGCUGUUUAAAUAAUUCCUCAUAUCCAUAGAAGCAAGCAAUGCAACCUGGCACCCAGCAAAGAUGUCUUUUUUGUUGGAAAGUUUAAUUUGGUUCACAAGAUGGGAGUGGGGAAAUUUGAGUACACAUUUAUAAAUAUAUCUGAAGUCUAUUUCUAGCACAGCCCAGUGAACUCAUUUUUGGGAAUAAGG